GAAUUUGAAAUAAAUUAUUUCAAGAUUAGUUUAGUGAGAAAUAAUUUUAUUUUUAAUUGGGAGGAUUAUUAAAUUUAUUAAACUUUAAUAAAAAUAUAACUUAGAUUAAAGAUUUAAAUGAUUGAUUUAAAAAUUAAGUAAGAUUUAAUUACCUUAGGGAUAACAGCGUAAUAUUUUUGGAUAGAACUAAUUGAUAAAAAUUAUUGC
rnacentral:rRNA from 1 species